UUCUGGCCAUUUUCCCCUGACAGCGGCUUCGGAGAUGGCUGUGACUGUCCUAAGCUGGGAGCUGCAAGGGAGAAUUCCUGUCAUUCCUGGCCUCAGCUCUGCAGGGACCGAGGGCGAGGCACGUCUGGGCCCAGGUGUGGCGUCUCUGUCCCCAUCUGGUUUUAGGCGUGUUACACCUCCACACGCAUUAGGGAUCCAGCUUUCCUGAAGACAUGAACCAUUUACCCCAAAAUAUGACCAACACAGACUCCUGCUUACAAUUUCCGUGGGCAGGUUGGCCACCUGUAGCUCAUCCCUAGCACUGAUCUAAGUCCCUCAAAUAGAGUUCAUGUGCAUCCCCACGACUGCCAUCACUUGUACCGUGAAGUACCUGGCUAAGUGUUGAGAUUGCAGAACUGGUGGAAGGCUGGGGGCAGGGACUUGGGGGAGUCCCUGACCAGAGGACCUCACUUGUCACACUCGUCUUCCAUGUUUAGGGCUGGGCUCCUUCAGGCAAGGGACAUGCAUGACAACUCAUGCAUGACCUCUAGGUAUUAAGAAUGCAGCAUCACAGGGAGAGGCUGUCUAGGGCAGGAUAGUCAUGUACAGGCAGUUGCCAGAGUGUAAAGGAAAAAAAAGUUUUUUUUUUUGUUUGUUUUUUAUUUUGUGGAAAACAAAAGCAGAAAAACUAAA